GCACUGACUGAAGACAAAAGAAACUUCUCCAGUGGAUGAAGUUUGUCCACUGGCAUCCACAGCAAUGAUGUCCUUGCUUCCCAAAGCGUACACAUUCUUUGCUGUUUUUCCAGGUCUUGAGAAUUACCUUCACAAUCAGUUGGACUGAUGCCUUAGACCCUUUCCUGGACAGCAUUCCUUGGUUUUGGAAUCCGGCUCUACUAUGACAUUUCUGCUCCUGUUACACUUCCUGAUGUGCAUGGCUCUGCUUUAUGGACCUGUUACUUACAUCUGUCCUCUGCAGUGGAGAAUGGUGGAGGAACCCAGCCAUCCUCAUCCUGCUCUGCGAUGCUGCCUGGCACAAGGCUUUGUACAGACUGGACUGCAUGGUGAUUCCUGGAGAUUCAUGGAGAAUUCAAAGCUAAUUCUCACUACAGCCACCUGCCUUGAAAGGUGAGUUUCUGUGGCCUCUUCUACUGAGAUGCUUUAGUAUCUUCCUGGCUACUCUUUUCCUUAGGUUGGUGUGAGUGUGAGGAUGGUCAUCGAAUAUGAUCCCUCAAAGUACCCCCCAGACACAGUGCGAUAGCAACUUGGAAUGGAGAGAAUUAAAAAUAGAUCCAGGCUGUCACACAGCCAGUCGAAUCCUGUACACUUGAGUCUUACUGAAACUAGGAACUCCUGAGAUUUGCUCCUUGUUGAAGAAACUCCUCAGUCAGAAAUGCUGGAUGGUCAUUACACCGCAUCCAGCAGAUUAAGAAGAUGAAACUACUGGUCAGGGUUGAUGUUGGUUAUGGGUUUACAAGUUUCUGAAAAAGAGCCAUGAGCAUGGGUGCGGUUGAUAAAGAGGUUUUGUUAAAUCCCCCAGAAUGUGCCAAAUCAUGUGUUUUCUUCUCCCGCUCCUCCAGAAAUUACCAUAAAUGCAAUAAUCUGUUUUUGACACACUAGGUUGUAUGACAGGACUGGGAACUAGUCUAAGAAUCUCUUUCCUUGAAUGCAAAUCUCCUGCUGUUGAUUUGUGGUUUAUUUUCCUACACAGGGUGGCAGGGACCCCCCAGCUGGCUUCCACAUGGGAUUGAGGUCCACAUGAGAUUCUAUCCCUGUCCUGGCCUGGAGCAGACACAGGAAGUAUAGGGUGACUUCUGUUAGCCAUGGAUUUAGGUGUCGAAGGUGCCAGCCUAGACCUGUGGAGGGUCGCCUUGUCCUCCUGCUCCCAUUAACUUCUACUUUCCACCCCCACAACAGCAGUCGAGGCAAAGGAAGAUGACGAAAAAAAAGCAUUUAUGGUCACAGCCAAAUAUUAGUUUUCAUUUUAAAUGGUACAGGCAUUGUGAGCAAGGACAUUCGUUUUUAUCAGAUGGGCCAGGCCCUGUUGGACUGUGGCAUACCUAUCAUUUAUUCCUGGGUCUCUCAACCCAAGUGAGCAGUCAGCAAAGAAACCAUUUGGAAGCCCCUCUGUUGCUGUUGUUUUAAAUACCAUAAUUAGAUUAACUAAUGCUUAUUCUGUUAUUUCCUAUGAACAAUCCAGCUUUUUUCCUUUCAGGAAGGUGUGCCCUGUGGUCAGGACCAGACAUGUUCCUGUGCUUUUUCUCUCCACAUAUUUUUCCCCUAUGAUGCAGAGGCAAAGGAGCUUUGGGUGGGUGUAGGCUGAAUGCCCAGGAGGGUGCUGCCCAAUGAGGUCAGUACAUCAUGUCAGAGACCCAUGCCCGCCUAGAAUUGCCCCCACCAGGGCCUUGUUGAGUCUUCUCCCUGCAGCUGGGAAUUUUGUCCUGCCUUGAUGUAGAUGUGCAUUAACUGAGUUUAUCUGCACAGGAAGGGAUAUGAGCUCUGAGUUCAUGGACUCUUCCUUUUCUCAGGUUCCUGGGAAUGAUUUAAGAGCUGGAUUCUAAGCAUCUUGUGGAGGCUGGGGGUGUCUAACCACUCACGUCUCAGGGAUAUGGGAGGGCCUAACAAUCAAAGUGUGCUUGGGGCUAGACAUAGAAGCUGGAAGAAGGCGGAGAACAAAUGAACAGGGGCCUGGCCUUCUAAAUAUCUAAAUAAUGGGCUUGAAGGGCCAUACAGACCACCCAGCCCCUGGGAUAGACAAAGAAUGGGCAGUGUCUGGAAGCAGAACUGGAAAGACCCCCCCACACACACAUAGCCCACCCAUGCGAGAUUUUCAAUCCUGGACUCCACACUGCCACUGACAAAUAUGUUUUUUUCUGGGAGACUCUCUGACCUCACCUAUCCUUCUUCAUGUAUAAAGUAGAAAUUUUGUAACUCAUUUGUCAAUAUUUUCCUGGGAUAAUAUAAACACAAAUGAGAUACAGAAAUGCUUUGCAAGCAGAUGAACUAAAUAAGUAUAUCCAGAGUACUGGCAAACUGGACUGCUUCUUACGACCCACUUGCUUGCUAAGUCUUGGAAGAGAAUUUGUGGGCAAACAUCCUAUUUUACAUCUCCCAUCUGGGGACAAUAUAUCAAAUGACUUACAACAUUUUAAUCAUGUAACACAAGUCUACUGUUAUGAGUAUUAAAAGUGUGAAAGAUUUAAAAAUAAAUGAAAAUGACAGUGCCCUCACUUAACAGUGGAUUAUUCUCUGAAAAAGAAAGAACUCCAAACUCAAUUAUUAUUACUGAAUCAUAUUUAUCAGUGUGUACUGUGUACUCAAGAAAGAGGCUGCACACACAAACAGAUUAACAAACACAAAACCCCAGACCCCAAAACCAACACUAUGGUUGAAAAUGCCCAGAGCACAUGUGACUUUUCAGGAGCCUCUGAUGACCCUGAAGUCACAGACAAGGAACCCUGGUUUAGAUGGUUUGCUACUCCAGACAGGAACAAUGCUUUAUUUGCUAUUGUACCCCAAGUCCCAGCACAGUGCCAGGCAUCUAAGAGAUGUCACUGUGAGUUGGCAGAGCUAGACGCAUUGUUAUUUAUGCUCUUUUAACACAAGCACAGAUAUGCAGGGCAACUUUGGACCAGGGACUCAGAGGGAAGAUAACAAUAGCUGAAGAGUUUGAGAGGCAAGACGAGCACAGCUAACCAAACCGCUGAGAAGUGACUCCACUUCUUAGCUAGCUGUGAAGGUAUGGUGGACAGAGACAGUCCUAACACCCAGCUGAGAAUUCAGGAAGACACCUGAGGACAAGAUCUUGAUACAGUCACUGGAACCAUAGUACAAUAUGAAGUGUGACUGAGGGCAAGCCAGACCAGAGGCUAGUUACAGAUGUUCCCAGCCUUUAGGGUAAGGAAAUGAAGGGACCAGGAGUUGGGGAAAUAAUUGCUGGAGGCUCUGUCUUCGACUGUGCCUGAGACAGGAGGAGAUCACUCAGCUUCUCUGAGGUUGUUCCGUGGAGUUUGCAAGUUUCUCAAGCACACUUUGGCCCACUUUUAGAGGUUCAUAAAUACAAGACAGCUCUUAGUUUCUAUUGCUUCUACCUUAUGCCAGGCAUAUGGUACUGAAAAAAUUAAAGAGUAGACAUUUUUGAUGAUAAUCAGUUGUAAAAAUAAUCAAUUGGUGUUAUUAAAAUGUUGUUUACCUGUAUUCAUCCUUCCAUGUAGUAUACUCUAACAGACAUCAUUUAACCUCAGCACUUAAUCAGGAGCACUGAAACACUGCUGCUCUUGUGGGAUAUUAUACUCCAUUAUUCUAAGACACCAAGGAGUACUUGGAAGAGAAAACUCAGAUGAGCAGCUUCAUAGUUGGGUAGGCUGGCUGCAUCUCAUGCAGAUGCAGUUAUAAGAACAAAACUCUUUUGAAGGGAAAAUAGAAAUGGUUCCCACAUUAGCUGAUAAAUAGAAGAUAAUUAAGAGAUUUUCUAUAAAUUGUUAAGUUUGCAGAAUGUUAGAAUCAAAAGGGAUCUUGGAAAUUACCACGUUGCCAGUUACUAAUUUUAAAUCGAGGAACCAGGUGUUGAGGGUAAAUGGGUUGCUGAAGGCUGGGAAGUUAGAGGAAAGGAGUAGCAUCUGUUUCCUCUCAUCCCAAUCAAUGGUCCUUCCAGGGAUCUCCCUGGCUGGAGGGAAGGGGUGGGCAUAAGGACCAGGGGGAGAGAUGUGUAGAUUACUCCCUUCUUCCCAAUGUUCACCAUGCAGAAGUCAUUUGUCCAAUGGGGAAACUGUAGGGGGAAAAAUUAUUUUAAAAUUCCCUAACAAAUGUGACAUCACAAGUCAGGUUUCUUCUCUAGACUUUCUAGGUGUUUCUAAUGACAACCUCAUUUAUUAACUCUCAUAGCAUAGCAUUCUUUUUGCUUGUUUUCUAAGGAAAAUCAAGGUUUUGAAAGUAAUAUUUUUGAGAUGGAAAAAGUUGGGAGAUCCAAAACUGAGAAAAAUGUGAACAAAAUUAUUUUAAAAUUCUUUUUUCUUUCUAAAUUGUAUUAUUUUUGAUAGAAUAAAGCAAUUUUAAGCACUAUUAUAAUAUAUUGAUGAGAUUUACAUUGUGGCAAAAUUAGCUUUUGAUUUUAUCACAAACAAUGAAUAUUUCUGAUAAUAUUUUUUGAGGAAUUUUUAACCCCAUUAAAACUUUCCUUACAUCUCUACUUGAAUGUCUGUAGUUUCUGGUUAAAAACUGAUUAAAUCUAAGGAAAUGUUCUUCCUAGAUGAAAGAAAGGGUUCAAUGUGUCAUGCUUCCUCUGUAAAUGCUUUGGCUAAUGGAGUACUCAUGUUCAACCAGAUGUGGGAAAAUUCUAUCCACAGGUCCUUGAAUAACUAAUGGACAAUUACCAUGGGAAGUCUUUUGAUAGAAGGCAACUUGACAUUUGUUAAAUGUCAAACUUCCUUAGACCACAGAUAUCACGUAUUUCUAAAGGGACUUGAAUCCUUUGAAAGAAAUCAGUUACAUAUGGUGCCAGUGUUAACACAGAUUUUGGGCUGUCUUCAUUCUUUAAGGAGGAUGACAGCUAAAGUUUAUGGAGUGCUUAUCAUGUACAAGUCACAGUUCUAAUUAUUUUAUAUGGAAUAACAACAUUAUUAUUGUCUCAAUCUUACUGUUGAGGAAAUUAAGGCACAACAAGUUAAGAACUUGGCUAAGAUACACAGCUUAUAAGGAAGUCUGGGUCCAGAGACUGUGCCCUUUUAUGUUAUACUGCCUUUUAUGAGUAAAAAUUUCCAUACAGCAUUGUCCCUAAUAGGCCAUGAUUUUAGAUUAUUCCCUAGGGUUCUACUACGUGAUGAAAAUGUGGAUCCUUAAAUUAACUCACUAUCUCUAUUUGUCCCUUCUACAUGAACAGUGAUAGCAAUAAUGGCUAUUAUUAUUAUUAUUUUGGAAUUUUAAUAUAAGUUUUUACUUCCAGUGAAAAUAGAACCUCAUUAGUCUAGAGUUGCACUGCACAGUAGAAUAGGCAGAAGUUACCUGUGGCUACAUAAAAUGAAAUUAAUUGCAAUUAAGUACUGUCAUAGUCUGUUUUCUGUUGCUUCUAACAGAAUUACUGAAACUGGGUAAUUUACAAAGAAAAAUAAUUUAUCUCUUACAGAUACAUAAGCUGGUAAGUCCAAGGUCAAGGGGCUACAUCUGGUGAGGGCCUUCUUGCUAGUGAGGACUCUCUGCAGAGUCUAGAGGCAGUUUAGGGCAUCACAUGAUGAGGGGCUAAGCUUGCUAGCUUAGGUCUGUCUUCCUCUUGUUAUAAAGCCACAAAUCCCACUCCCAUGCUCACCCACUAAUCCAUUAACAUAUUAACACAUUCAUUCAGGAACGAAUUAGUCUAUUCGUGAGGGCAGAGCCCCCAUGAUCCACUCACCUCUUAAAGGCCCUGCCUGUUAAUACUGCCACAUUGGAGAUUAACUUUCAACAUGAGUUUUGAAGGGGACAAACAUUCAAACUACAGCAAGUACAAUGUAAACAGUAGUUCCUUAGUCAUACUGCUAUGUUUUUAAUGCUUGAUAGCCACAGGUGGGUAGUGACUACCAUAGAUACAAAAAAGUUCAAUCAUUGUGGUUCUAUUGCAUAGCAAUGUGUUGUAGCAUUCUCAGUGUCUUUAUAUGUAACUAAACGCAUCAAUUACUAGAUGCAGAAUGCAGCCAGGAGAUAGAACUUUAUCUAUUUGGAAAAAAAACCUCAUAUAUUUAUCUUUAAACUUGUGAGGUUGGAACUAACUAAAGUUGCAUAUUUGACCUUGAACCAAGCCAACAUAAAGUGAGAAAAUUACAAGUGAGAGGAGAAGGAUUGGCUGGUGAUCUGAUGAAUCAGUAAAUUAUAUAUGUAGUGAAGGGAGAAUCUUUUCCAUGGAGCUAAAGGGAGUGUGUUAAAAGGACUCUUGGCUCCCCCAAAAGUAGAGCAACUCACUUUUGACGUGUAGUAACAUGGAUGUAUGUACCAUUUAGAAUGUCAGAAUGAGCAGAAUAUUUUGCUAUAAGAGCAUGUUUUGGAAGAUUUCUGAAAAUGAAAUGGGAUUUUAGGAAACUUUUCAAGUGAAAGGAACUUCUUUUAGUCAGCUUUCUACAGAGAGACAGAAACUAUAGAAUAUAGACAGCAAUAUAUAAAAAGGGAUUUAUUAGAGGAAUUAGCUUCUUUGAUUAUGGAAGCUGGGAAGCCUCAAGAUAGGCUGUCUGCAAGUUAGAGAACCAGGAAAGUGGAUAGCAUGGCCUGGCCCAGGCGUAAAGGCUUCAGGACCAAGGAAGCCAAUGGUGUAACCCUCCAUCAGAAGCUGAAAGUCUGACAGCAUGGUGGUGGGGAAAUAGGCUUCACAUGAGUCCUGGAGUCCAAAGGCCAGAAAACCUGGUGUUGUGAUAUCCAAGGACAGGGAAAGAAGAGUGUCUUGGCACUGGAAGAGAGAUUAAAUUUCCCGUUUCUUCAUCUUUUUGUUCCAUUCAGGCCUCCAUCCAAUGGGAUGGCACCUGUCCACAUUGAGGGCAGAUCUUCCCACUCAGUCCACUGGCUCACACACCAAUGGCUUCUGGAAACACCGUCAUAGACACCUGGAACAGCCCAGUCAUUCUAAUCAAUAGCACAUAUGCCUGGGUUUUCCUUUCAGCAGAAGAGGGACAGGCUCGGUGCCUAUCCAUUGACAAUAGCUGAUGCUUUACCAGCUAUCUGGGUAUCCUUUAAUCUAGUCAGGUUGACCUCACAAAUUGACCAUCACAGUACAAAAGGGCUGGCUUAUUUGGGAUUGUGCAGGUCAGACUGGCUUUUAGAUUUCUGGGUUGGGGACCAAAGAUACCAGAAUCUGCAGUCAUGAUUCACUCUCAUGAGGGAAGAAUGUUGGAGGGGAGGUAUUAUGCUUUCCCUUGUUCAAGAGGUAAUUUUGACUCCAGGUGUGUUUGGCCAUCAAAAGCCUGUCUUUCCACUAUGGCAUUUGUCCUCAGUACAUAUCCUACAAGUUUAGCAAAUUUAAUUGAGGAAAUCACAAAAGAUGUUGCCCAGAAGCGUGGCCUCAGGAAGAUUAAAGAGUGGGGGCUACAGGAAGAUGGGAUGUGACAGGAGAGCCACUCUAGGGAAGAAGAUUGGUCAAGGUGGAGGCAGAGGGAUGGGGAGGAAGAGAUACAACACAUUUAAUAGCUCUACUUUGGCCACAGUAGCCUUGAAGAAAUGGUAAUUAAUACUUAAAUUAGGUAGGAAGAUAGACUACAGUACUGAGCACAAGAGAUCAUUUUUCCUAUUACUGUCCAAAGCUGUUAUCCUGUGAAGAAGCUGAGACUGACUGCAUCAACAGUAACUUGCUGUCAUUGUGAGGUUUCCAUGGUCCUAACCUUGACUUCAAGGUUAAGCUCUGUUAGACACUAGCACUCCUGAAGGGCCAACCUCCUCUGAAUUCUGAUGCAUUCAUUCAUGUCUCAAUUAAGGAAAAUGACAUCAUUUUAGAGAAUUGGUACUUUCAAGGGGUCAGUACAUAAACUUACAGUAUUAAACAUACUUGUCAAAUGGCAAACCACACACUUUGUGGGCACAGAAAUGAGCAAUCUUUUCCUCUGAGACUCCUCUUUCCCUCCUCCUCCAUAAAUAACAGUCCUACAUCAGCAUUAUUCAGUUUUCUUCUAGGCACCCUCUAGCUUCCUGAGAAUGUAGAACAUGGUGCUGUUUAGCAUCUGUUGUCCUGUCUUUUCAUCUCAAACAAUCUGCUGUAUUCUCAGAAAAGGGCUUCUCGGGAGGCAGGGAGUUAGGACUGAUGUGGAGGUGAUGCGAAGUGGAGGUGGAAGAGAAAAUGAAUCAGCAGAGCUGCUCGUGAAAGUUGACACAAUGUGCGUAUUAAGAUU